rnacentral:rRNA from 1 species
GACGAACGCUGGCGGCGUGCUUAACACAUGCAAGUCGAACGGAAAGGCCCCUUUGGGGGUACUCGUGUGGCGAACGGGUGAGUAACACGGGAGUAACCGGCCCUUGACUUCGGGAUAACUUCAGGAAACUGGGGCUAAUACCGGAUAGGAAUCCUUGCUGCAUGGUGGGGGUUGGAAAGCUUCGGCGGUUUUGGAUGGACUCGCGGCUUAUCGGCUUGUUGGGGGGGUAGUGGCUUACCAAGGCUUUGACGGGUAGCCGGCCUGAGAGGGCGACCGGCCACAUUGGGACUGAGAUACGGCCCAGACUCCUACGGGAGGCAGCAGUGGGGAAUAUUGCACAAUGGGCGGAAGCCUGAUGCAGCAACGCCGCGUGCGGGAUGACGGCCUUCGGGUUGUAAACCGCUUUCAGCAGGGGCGAAGCUUGUGGUGACGGUACCUGCAGAAGAAGCACCGGCUAACUACGUG